GCCUUCGUGGUGUAGUGGUCAGCGCGCUCCACGCGUAUUCCACAGGUUCGUGGUUCGAAUCCCGACGAGAGCA
rnacentral:tRNA from 1 species